CAUGCAAGUCGAGCGAACAGACAAGGAGCUUGCUCCUUUGACGUUAGCGGCGGACGGGUGAGUAACACGUGGGUAACCUACCUAUAAGACUGGGAUAACUUCGGGAAACCGGAGCUAAUACCGGAUAAUAUUUCGAACCGCAUGGUUCGAUAGUGAAAGAUGGUUUUGCUAUCACUUAUAGAUGGACCCGCGCCGUAUUAGCUAGUUGGUAAGGUAACGGCUUACCAAGGCGACGAUACGUAGCCGACCUGAGAGGGUGAUCGGCCACACUGGAACUGAGACACGGUCCAGACUCCUACGGGAGGCAGCAGUAGGGAAUCUUCCGCAAUGGGCGAAAGCCUGACGGAGCAACGCCGCGUGAGUGAUGAAGGUCUUCGGAUCGUAAAACUCUGUUAUUAGGGAAGAACAUACGUGUAAGUAACUAUGCACGUCUUGACGGUACCUAAUCAGAAAGCCACGGCUAACUACGUGCCAGCAGCCGCGGUAAUACGUAGGUGGCAAGCGUUAUCCGGAAUUAUUGGGCGUAAAGCGCGCGUAGGCGGUUUUUUAAGUCUGAUGUGAAAGCCCACGGCUCAACCGUGGAGGGUCAUUGGAAACUNNNAAACUUGAGUGCAGAAGAGGAAAGUGGAAUUCCAUGUGUAGCGGUGAAAUGCGCAGAGAUAUGGAGGAACACCAGUGGCGAAGGCGACUUUCUGGUCUGUAACUGACGCUGAUGUGCGAAAGCGUGGGGAUCAAACAGGAUUAGAUACCCUGGUAGUCCACGCC
rnacentral:rRNA from 1 species